GAGCGCCCCGCAAGGGGAGCGGCAGACGGGAGAGUAACACGUGGGAACGUGCCCUUUGGUUCGGAACAACACAGGGAAACUUGCGCUAAUACCGGAUAAGUCCGUAAGGAGAAAGAUUUAUCGCCAAAGGAUCGGCCCGCGUCUGAUUAGCUUGUUGGUGAGGUAACGGCUCACCAAGGCGACGAUCAGUAGCUGGUCUGAGAGGAUGAUCAGCCUCACUGGGACUGAGACACGGCCCAGACUCCUACGGGAGGCAGCAGUGGGGAAUAUUGGACAAUGGGCGCAAGCCUGAUCCAGCCAUGCCGCGUGGAUGAUGAAGGCCUCAGGGUUGUAAAGUCCUUUCGGCGGGGAAGAUAAUGACGGUACCCGCAGAAGAAGCCCCGGCUAACUUCGUGCCAGCAGCCGCGGUAAUACGAAGGGGGCUAGCGUUGCUCGGAAUCACUGGGGCGUAAGCGCACGUAGGCGGCUUUUUAAGUCAGAGGUGAAAUCCUGGAGCUCAACUCCAGACUGCCUUUGAUA
rnacentral:rRNA from 1 species